GAUGCUGAUGAGGAGGAAGAGGAGGCGGCAUUAGAAGAUUUCAGGAUUUCUGAGGAUGAUGAGGAUGAGGAUGAGGAUGAAGGGGAAGAUGAAGAAGUGGAGCAUUUUGGCUUAUAAGGUGACUGAACGUAGCGUUUACUUGACGGUGUUUAGGAGAACCUAGUCAUGCCUGGUGUUUCUUUCCAGGUGAUUAAAACGGAAAUGAAAUUGUCAAUAUCAUAUCAGUAGGGGUGGCUGAUUGCUAGUCUGUAAAUCGACUCUUCUCUGGGUCAAUCUCGUAUGCUCAUGUCGGCAAUGUAUGCCACGAUUCUAUAAAACUUGAUAUUGAACUUCUGUUUCCUACAGCUGCAAUGCCCAAAGUUCAUCGCAAAUUCUUGGCGAGAGAAGGAAAGCUAAAAAUCUGUUCGGUUGUAGUUCCAUAUAACCUUAGCCGGAAGAGGACCCUCUGACUUUCUUCCUUCUGACUUUGAGUCACUGAUACGUGAGUUUAUUGGGUAGAGGGUCCACAUAUCAAUGAUAUAAGUUAAAUAUAAGUAGGUUAGAGCAUCUCUAACAGUCUAUCCAAAUUUGACUGUCCAAAUGUCUAUUUGGCCAACUCUCCAUUUAAUUUAGCAAGUCAAAUUGUCUUUUACUCC
rnacentral:sRNA from 1 species